rnacentral:rRNA from 1 species
GUACAUGCCUAUAACAUAGUGUUAAUUCAUUGGAACCCAUUAGAACUCUGCAGUUAAGCAUGCUAGGGCUAGAGUAGUACUGGGAUGGGUGACCUCCUAGGAAUUCCUAGUGUUUUACAUG